rnacentral:rRNA from 1 species
CCCUUAGAUGUUCUGGGCCGCACACGCGCUACACUGAAGGAGGCAGCGUGUACUCCUGGAUCGAAAGAUUUGGGUAACCCGCGAAUCUCCUUCGUGCUAGGGAUUGAGGUUUGCAAUUAUCCUUCAUGAACGAGGAAUUCCCAGUAAGUGCAAGUCAUAAGCUUGCGCUGACUACGUCCCUGCCCUUUGUACACACCGCCCGUCGCUCCUACCGAUCGAGUGAUCCGGUGAAUGUUUUGGAUCGGUUGCAAGUUGCGCGACGCGCUUCUUGCAUGCUGUGAAAUCAUGUAAGCCUUAUUGCUUAGAGGAAGGAGAAGUCGUAACA